rnacentral:misc_RNA from 1 species
GAGUUGAAUGUACUUGGAGCCAGGUGAGGCUUUACUUUCCUUGCAAAAGUUUGGAGAACUAAAUUUUUCUUGACACAUGAAUUCUCUUUCUCGAAAAAUAUAGAAAAGCUCUUCUAGUAAUGAUACUAAUGGUAACACAUUGGUAAGUGUUAGACAGUGGAUAAUGAUAGAUCAAUCAUCUUAUGUAACUAGCAGGGGGCCAAGAAGAAUGCAUUG